rnacentral:rRNA from 1 species
ACGGAAGGCAGCAGUGAGGAAUAUUGGUCAAUGGGCGAGAGCCUGAACCAGCCAAGUCGCGUGAAGGAAGACGGUUCUAUGGAUUGUAAACUUCUUUUGUCCGAGGGUAAAGUGGGAGAUGCGUCUCUUAUUGCAAGUAUCGGACGAAUAAGCAUCGGCUAACUCCGUGCCAGCAGCCGCGGUAAUACGGAGGAUGCGAGCGUUAUCCGGAUUUAUUGGGUUUAAAGGGUGCGCAGGCGGGCUAGUAAGUCUCCGGUGAAAUGUCAGGGCUCAACCUUGGCACUGCCGGAGAUACUGUUGGCCUUGAGAGUGGCGGAGGUAUCCGGAAUGUGUGGUGUAGCGGUGAAAUGCAUAGAUAUCACACAGAACACCGAUUGCGAAGGCAGGAUACCAUACCAUAUCUGACGCUCAGGCACGAAAGCGUGGGGAUCGAACAGGAUUAGAUACCCUGGUA